rnacentral:rRNA from 1 species
GCAUGAAGGAGGAAUUGCUAGUAAUCGCGGAUCAGCAUGCCGCGGUGAAUACGUUCCCGGGCCUUGUACACACCGCCCGUCACACCAUGAGAGCCGGUAACACCCGAAGUCGGUAGUCUAACCGCAAGGAGGACGCUGCCGAAGGUGGGAUUGACGACUGGGGUGAAGUCGUAACAAGGUAGC